CCCUUAGACGUUCUGGGCCGCACGCGCGCUACACUGACGAAGGCAACGAGCUUUCCUUUACCGAAAGGUACGGGUAAUCUUUUGAAACUUCGUCGUGCUGGGGAUAGAUCCUUGCAAUUUUUGAUCUUAAACGAGGAAUGCCUAGUAAGCGCAAGUCAUCAACUUGCGUUGAUUACGUCCCUGCCCUUUGUACACACCGCCCGUCGCUACUACCGAUUGAAUGGUUUAGUGAGGCCUUCGGAUCCGCGACUCGUUUGUGGAGAAGUUGGACAAACUCAGUCAUCUAGAGGAAGUAAAAGUCGUAACA
rnacentral:rRNA from 1 species